rnacentral:rRNA from 1 species
AGGAAGGCUCGUCCGCUCUGGGUUAGUCGGGUCCUAAGCUGAGGCCGACAGGCGUAGGCGAUGGAUAACAGGUUGAUAUUCCUGUACCACCUAUAAUCGUUUUAAUCGAUGGGGGGACGCAGUAGGAUAGGCGAAGCGUGCGAUUGGAUUGCACGUCUAAGCAGUAAGGCUGAGUAUUAGGCAAAUCCGGUACUCAUUAAGGCUGAGCUGUGAUGGGGAGAAGACAUUGUGUCUUCGAGUCGUUGAUUUCACACUGCCGAGAAAAGCCUCUAGAUAGAAAAUAGGUGCCCGUACCGCAAACCGACACAGGUAGUCAAGAUGAGAAUUCUAAGGUGAGCGAGCGAACUCUCGUUAAGGAACUCGGCAAAAUGACCCCGUAACUUCGGGAGAAGGGGUGCUCUUUAGGGUUAACGCCCAGAAGAGCCGCAGUGAAUAGGCCCAAGCGACUGUUUAUCAAAAACACA